GGGGGGGAUGCUGUAUCCAGUAGCACAAGUGACUCUCACCGCUGCAGGAGAAGCCAUCCCGGUGCAGCUCAUAGCCCUGGUUACAGCGACACAGGAAGGUCCCAUAGGAGUUGAAGCAGCGCUGCUCACAUGGGGCUCCCAUGUCACACUCAUUCACAUCUGAGGGUGCGAGGACAAACAGGAGGGUGAGAGCAGUGUCACGCCCAGACCCCCCCAAACACACACACACACUCAACUUGGGCUCAAGAAGAAGAUCCUGCCCCCACGUCACACAUCUCCACCCAGGAUCCCAGAACCUUGUCUGGCACAGCCUCACCCACACAAGAGCGGUUGUUAGGUCCCAACUGGAAGCCUGGCUCACACUGGCAUCGAAAAGAGCCCGGCAGGUUCACACAUCGAUGCUGGCAAUAGCGGUAACGACACUCAUCUAUGUCUGAGAUGGAGGUGGGGGAGGGAAAGUAGAACACAGGCCAGGUGGGGCCUGAGUUGGCUCACCUCGGCAACCACCCCUGCCCGCCCUCGUCAGCGAGCUGGGCUGAGUCACCCACAUUUAAUCUUCCGUGUCUAGUGACAGGAGUGCACUAGUAGCAGAGGACUGGGGUGAGGUAAGGCAUCAGACCAGGAGCCAGACCAAGGUCACAGAACAAGAACCUAGCAGAGCCACUCAGAACUCACCCACACAUUCGGGUCCAAUUUUUCGGUAACCAUCAGGGCAGGUGCACUGGUAGGAGCCAGGAAGGUUAUGGCAGUCCUGACUAGGGCGACAGUCAUGCAAAGCCUGGGUACACUCGUCCACAUCUGUGAGAGACAGCAUUCAGCCUUCGCCUGGAGGCCCCCAUAUGCUCCUGACCACGUGAGGGAUCUCAAUUCGGGAGGAGGCGGACUGCCCUAGACUCCAUUCACAUGGGCACGUGGGUGGUUGGCACUAAAUCAUGGAUGUGUAAUUCAGAUCAUCCCAAUAGU
rnacentral:lncRNA from 1 species